rnacentral:rRNA from 1 species
UACGUAGGGACCAAGCGUUGUUCGGAUUUACUGGGCGUAAAGGGCGCGUAGGCGGCUUGACAAGUCACUUGUGAAAUCUCUGGGCUUAACCCAGAGGCUGCUUCCGAAACUGCUGUGCUUGAGUGUGGGAGAGGCGCGUGGAAUUGCAGGUGUAGCGGUGAAAUGCGUAGAUAUCUGCAGGAACACCCGUGGCGAAAGCGGCGCGCUGGACCACUACUGACGCUGAGGAACGAAAGCUAGGGGAGCAAACAGG